AGAGUUUGAUCCUGGCUCAGGACGAACGCUGGCGGCGCGCCUAACACAUGCAAGUCGAACGAGAGAUGAGGAGCUUGCUCUUCAAAUCGAGUGGCGAACGGGUGAGUAACGCGUGAGGAACCUGCCUCAAAGAGGGGGACAACAGUUGGAAACGACUGCUAAUACCGCAUAAGCCCACGGCUCGGCAUCGAGCAGAGGGAAAAGGAGCAAUCCGCUUUGAGAUGGCCUCGCGUCCGAUUAGCUAGUUGGUGAGGUAACGGCCCACCAAGGCGACGAUCGGUAGCCGGACUGAGAGGUUGAACGGCCACAUUGGGACUGAGACACGGCCCAGACUCCUACGGGAGGCAGCAGUGGGGAAUAUUGCACAAUGGGGGAAACCCUGAUGCAGCGACGCCGCGUGGAGGAAGAAGGUCUUCGGAUUGUAAACUCCUGUUGUUGAGGAAGAUAAUGACGGUACUCAACAAGGAAGUGACGGCUAACUACGUGCCAGCAGCCGCGGUAAAACGUAGGUCACAAGCGUUGUCCGGAAUUACUGGGUGUAAAGGGAGCGCAGGCGGGAGAACAAGUUGGAAGUGAAAUCCAUGGGCUCAACCCAUGAACUGCUUUCAAAACUGUUUUUCUUGAGUAGUGCAGAGGUAGGCGGAAUUCCCGGUGUAGCGGUGGAAUGCGUAGAUAUCGGGAGGAACACCAGUGGCGAAGGCGGCCUACUGGGCACCAACUGACGCUGAGGCUCGAAAGUGUGGGUAGCAAACAGGAUUAGAUACCCUGGUAGUCCACACCGUAAACGAUGAUUACUAGGUGUUGGAGGAUUGACCCCUUCAGUGCCGCAGUUAACACAAUAAGUAAUCCACCUGGGGAGUACGACCGCAAGGUUGAAACUCAAAGGAAUUGACGGGGGCCCGCACAAGCAGUGGAGUAUGUGGUUUAAUUCGACGCAACGCGAAGAACCUUACCAAGUCUUGACAUCCCUUGACGAUGCUGGAAACAGUAUUUCUCUUCGGAGCAAGGAGACAGGUGGUGCAUGGUUGUCGUCAGCUCGUGUCGUGAGAUGUUGGGUUAAGUCCCGCAACGAGCGCAACCCUUAUGGUCAGUUACUACGCAAGAGGACUCUGGCCAGACUGCCGUUGACAAAACGGAGGAAGGUGGGGAUGACGUCAAAUCAUCAUGCCCUUUAUGACUUGGGCUACACACGUACUACAAUGGCGUUAAACAAAGAGAAGCAAGACCGCGAGGUGGAGC
rnacentral:rRNA from 1 species